rnacentral:ribozyme from 1 species
UGUCAAGAGCUGAAGGCCAUAGCAGAAGUGCUCAUGGCAAGGCCCUGUCAGAUUCAAGUGAAACUGCAAAUUCUGCU